ACACAUGCAAGUCGAGCGGUAACAGAUCCAGCUUGCUGGAUGCUGACGAGCGGCGGACGGGUGAGUAAUGCAUAGGAAUCUGCCCGAUAGUGGGGGAUAACCUGGGGAAACCCAGGCUAAUACCGCAUACGUCCUACGGGAGAAAGGGGGCUCCGGCUCCCGCUAUGGGAUGAGCCUAUGUCGGAUUAGCUAGUUGGCGAGGUAACGGCUCACCAAGGCGACGAUCCGUAGCUGGUCUGAGAGGAUGAUCAGCCACAUCGGGACUGAGACACGGCCCGAACUCCUACGGGAGGCAGCAGUGGGGAAUAUUGGACAAUGGGCGAAAGCCUGAUCCAGCCAUGCCGCGUGUGUGAAGAAGGCCCUCGGGUCGUAAAGCACUUUCAGCGAGGAAGAACGCCUAGCGGUUAAUACCCGCUAGGAAAGACAUCACUCGCAGAAGAAGCACCGGCUAACUCCGUGCCAGCAGCCGCGGUAAUACGGAGGGUGCAAGCGUUAAUCGGAAUUACUGGGCGUAAAGCGCGCGUAGGUGGCUUGAUAAGCCGGUUGUGAAAGCCCCGGGCUCAACCUGGGAACGGCAUCCGGAACUGUCAAGCUAGAGUGCAGGAGAGGAAGGUAGAAUUCCCGGUGUAGCGGUGAAAUGCGUAGAGAUCGGGAGGAAUACCAGUGGCGAAGGCGGCCUUCUGGACUGACACUGACACUGAGGUGCGAAAGCGUGGG
rnacentral:rRNA from 1 species